rnacentral:rRNA from 1 species
AGCAGCCGCCACGGGAAAACCAGCACCUCGAGUGGUCAGGAGGUUUAUUGGGCCUAAAGCAUCCGUAGCCGGUUGCAUAAGUUUUCGGUUAAAUCUAUGCGCUUAACGUAUAGGCCGCCGAAAAUACUGUGCAGCUAUGGAGUGGGAGAGGUACACGGUACUCGAUAGGAAGGGGUAAAAUCCUUUGAUCUAUUGAUGACCACCUGUGGCGAAGGCGGUGUACCAGAACACGUUCGACGGUGAGGGAUGAAAGCUGGGGGAGCAAACCGGAUUAGAUACCCCCGUAGUCCCUGUCUCUUAUAC